UACGUAGGGUGCAAGCCGUUGUCCGGAAUUAUUGGGCGUAAAGAGCUCGUAGGCGGUUUGUCGCGUCUGCUGUGAAAACGCGAGGCUCAACCUCGCGCCUGCAGUGGGUACGGGCAGGCUUGAGUUCGGUAGGGGAGACUGGAAUUCCUGGUGUAGCGGUGAAAUGCGCAGAUAUCAGGAGGAACACCGGUGGCGAAGGCGGGUCUCUGGGCCGAUGACUGACGCUGGAGGAGCGAAAGCGUGGGGAGCGAACAGG
rnacentral:rRNA from 1 species